rnacentral:rRNA from 1 species
AUUGAACGCUGGCGGCAGGCUUAACACAUGCAAGUCGAGCGGGGAAGGGUAGCUUGCUACCUGACCUAGCGGCGGACGGGUGAGUAAUGCUUAGGAAUCUGCCUAUUAGUGGGGGACGACAUUCCGAAAGGAAUGCUAAUACCGCAUACGCCCUACGGGGAAAGCAGGGGAUCUUCGGACCUUGCGCUAAUAGAUGAGCCUAAGUCAGAUUAGCUAGUUGGUGGGGUAAAGGCCUACCAAGGCGACGAUCUGUAGCGGGUCUGAGAGGAUGAUCAGCCACACUGGGACUGAGACACGGCCCAGACUCCUACGGGAGGCAGCAGUUGGGGGAAUAUUGGACAAUGGGCGCAAGCCUGAUCCAGCCAUGCCGCGUGUGUGAAGAAGGGCCCUUCGGGUUGGUUAAAGACACUUUUGUCCGGUAAGAAAU